UGGUUGUGUGCAAGUUUCGUAAGUUCUUGCGCGGCUAUUUUUCUGUUUAAUAUAUUGAUACCUUUCUGUUGUAAAACCUCUAUCCUAUUGUGUUUUGUGUUGUGUGAUUGUCAUUCUGUAGAGCAACAGUUUCUUUCAAUAUCGGUAAAAAAAAAAAAACAUUUUUCUUUUUAUUUAACUUGUACUUCCACAAUUAUUGAUAAAUAGCAAAGUCAGUCUUGUCAAUGUCCUAACUGAACAACAGACACUCACCGAACAUUGAAACAUCUACUCUGAUACUGGCAAUUCCGCAAGGGUGCUAAAGCCAAAGAAGAAGAAGAAGAAGAAUUAAAAAAAAAAAACAUUUUU